AGUAGUGUCAGCUAAUAAAGCUACAGGGCCCAUGCCCCUGUGAUGUAGGUUAAAUUCCUAUCCCUAUUA
rnacentral:tRNA from 1 species